UCAAGUGACUAAGUGCAUGUGGCGGAUGCCUUGGCGAUCACAGGCGAAGAAAGACGCGGCAGCCUGCGAAAAGCUGCGGGGAGCUGGCAAACGAGCUUUGAUCCGCAGAUAUCUGAAUGGGGGAACCCACACCGCAAGGUGUAUCCGUGACUGAAUACAUAGGUUACGGAGGCGAACGAGGAGAACUGAAACAUCUAAGUAUCCUCAGGAAAAGAAAUCAACCGAGAUUCCGGCAGUAGCGGCGAGCGAACCCGGAGGAGCCUAGCUUUUGAUAGUACGAACUUUAGCCGAAAGGUCCUGGAAAGGCCUGCUAUAGUGGGUGAUAGCCCCGUAGGCGAAAGAGUUGGUACGGUACUAAGGAAGCGAGAAGUAGAGCGGGACACGUGGAAUCCUGUUCGAAGACGGGGGGACCAUCCUCCAAGGCUAAAUACUCGUGAUCGACCGAUAGUGAACCAGUACCGUGAGGGAAAGGCGAAAAGAACCCCGGGAGGGGAGUGAAAUAGAACCUGAAACCGCAUGCAUACAAACAGUAGGAGCCUCGUCAGAGGUGACUGCGUACCUUUUGCAUAAUGGGUCAGCGACUUACAUUCUGUGGCGAGCUUAACCGAAUAGGGGAGGCGCAGCGAAAGCGAGUUCGAAAUGAGCGUCCAGUCGCAGGGUGUAGACCCGAAACCAGAUGAGCUAUCCAUGGCCAGGUUGAAGGUGUGGUAACACACACUGGAGGACCGAACCGACUAGUGUUGCAAAAUUAGCGGAUGAGCUGUGGAUAGGGGUGAAAGGCCAAACAAAUCUGGAGAUAGCUGGUUCUCCCCGAAAACUAUUGAGGUAGUGCCUCGUGUGUCGCUCCAGGGGGUAGAGCACUGUUUUGGCUAGGGGGACAUGGAGUCUUACCAAACCAAGGCAAACUCCGAAUACCUGGAAGCGUAAGCACGGGAGACAGAGCACCGGGUGCUAACGUCCGGACUCAAAAGGGAAACAACCCAGACCGCCGGCUAAGGUCCCAAAUAACAGCUAAGUGGAAAACGAAGUGGAAAGGCCGUGACAACCAGGAAGUUGGCUUAGAAGCAGCCAUCCUUCAAAGAAAGCGUAAUAGCUCACUGGUCGAGUCCUUCUGCGCGGAAGAUGUAACGGGGCUAAGCUGUUAACCGAAGCCGCGGAUGCACUGGUUAUCCAGUGCGUGGUAGGGGAGCGUUCUGUAAGUCUGCGAAGGCGGUUCGAGAGGACUGCUGGAGAUAUCAGAAGUGCGAAUGCUGACAUGAGUAACGUUAAAGCAGGUGAAAAGCCUGCUCGCCGUAAGCCCAAGGAUUCCUGCUCUACGUUCAUCGGAGCAGGGUGAGUCGGCUCCUAAGGUCAGGCCGAAAGGCGUAGCCGAUGGGAAUCAGGUUAAUAUUCCUGAACCUGCGUCAGAUGCGAUGGGGGGACGGAGCAUGGAAGAUCAUCCGGGUGUUGGAAGUCCCGGUUGUUGAGCGUAGGAGGUCUGCAGGCAAAUCCGCAGACGCAUCUCCAAGGCAAAGACACGUGCCGCCACGGCGGCGAAGUGAUCGGAAGUGCUUCCAAGAAAAGCCUCUAAGCACCAGUCUGACGCGGACCGUACCGCAAACCGACACUGGUGGGCGAGCUGAAUAUGCUCAGGCGCUUGAGAGAACUCGGGAGAAGGAACUCGGCAAAUUGACACCGUAACUUCGGAAGAAGGUGUGCCGUAGUACCGUGAGAGGAGAGACACCUUGAGCGGGAAACGGUCUCAGAGAAUAGGUGGCUGCGACUGUUUAUUAAAAACACAGCACUCUGCAAAGUCGAAAGACGACGUAUAGGGUGUGAUGCCUGCCCGGUGCUGGAAGAUUAAUUGAUGGGGUGAGAGCCCUUGAUCGAAGUCCCAGUAAACGGCGGCCGUAACUAUAACGGUCCUAAGGUAGCGAAAUUCCUUGUCGGGUAAGUUCCG
rnacentral:rRNA from 1 species